GGUUAAGCGACUAAGCGUACACGGUGGAUGCCCUGGCAGUCAGAGGCGAUGAAGGACGUGCUAAUCUGCGAUAAGCGUCGGUAAGGUGAUAUGAACCGUUAUAACCGGCGAUUUCCGAAUGGGGAAACCCAGUGUGUUUCGACACACUAUCAUUAACUGAAUCCAUAGGUUAAUGAGGCGAACCGGGGGAACUGAAACAUCUAAGUACCCCGAGGAAAAGAAAUCAACCGAGAUUCCCCCAGUAGCGGCGAGCGAACGGGGAGGAGCCCAGAGCCUGAAUCAGUGUGUGUGUUAGUGGAAGCGUCUGGAAAGGCGCGCGAUACAGGGUGACAGCCCCGUACACAAAAAUGCACAUGCUGUGAGCUCGAUGAGUAGGGCGGGACACGUGGUAUCCUGUCUGAAUAUGGGGGGACCAUCCUCCAAGGCUAAAUACUCCUGACUGACCGAUAGUGAACCAGUACCGUGAGGGAAAGGCGAAAAGAACCCCGGCGAGGGGAGUGAAAAAGAACCUGAAACCGUGUACGUACAAGCAGUGGGAGCACGCUUAGGCGUGUGACUGCGUACCUUUUGUAUAAUGGGUCAGCGACUUAUAUUCUGUAGCAAGGUUAACCGAAUAGGGGAGCCGAAGGGAAACCGAGUCUUAACUGGGCGUUAAGUUGCAGGGUAUAGACCCGAAACCCGGUGAUCUAGCCAUGGGCAGGUUGAAGGUUGGGUAACACUAACUGGAGGACCGAACCGACUAAUGUUGAAAAAUUAGCGGAUGACUUGUGGCUGGGGGUGAAAGGCCAAUCAAACCGGGAGAUAGCUGGUUCUCCCCGAAAGCUAUUUAGGUAGCGCCUCGUGAAUUCAUCUCCGGGGGUAGAGCACUGUUUCGGCAAGGGGGUCAUCCCGACUUACCAACCCGAUGCAAACUGCGAAUACCGGAGAAUGUUAUCACGGGAGACACACGGCGGGUGCUAACGUCCGUCGUGAAGAGGGAAACAACCCAGACCGCCAGCUAAGGUCCCAAAGUCAUGGUUAAGUGGGAAACGAUGUGGGAAGGCCCAGACAGCCAGGAUGUUGGCUUAGAAGCAGCCAUCAUUUAAAGAAAGCGUAAUAGCUCACUGGUCGAGUCGGCCUGCGCGGAAGAUGUAACGGGGCUAAACCAUGCACCGAAGCUGCGGCAGCGACGCUUAUGCGUUGUUGGGUAGGGGAGCGUUCUGUAAGCCUGUGAAGGUGUGCUGUGAGGCAUGCUGGAGGUAUCAGAAGUGCGAAUGCUGACAUAAGUAACGAUAAAGCGGGUGAAAAGCCCGCUCGCCGGAAGACCAAGGGUUCCUGUCCAACGUUAAUCGGGGCAGGGUGAGUCGACCCCUAAGGCGAGGCCGAAAGGCGUAGUCGAUGGGAAACAGGUUAAUAUUCCUGUACUUGGUGUUACUGCGAAGGGGGGACGGAGAAGGCUAUGUUGGCCGGGCGACGGUUGUCCCGGUUUAAGCGUGUAGGCUGGUUUUCCAGGCAAAUCCGGAAAAUCAAGGCUGAGGCGUGAUGACGAGGCACUACGGUGCUGAAGCAACAAAUGCCCUGCUUCCAGGAAAAGCCUCUAAGCAUCAGGUAACAUCAAAUCGUACCCCAAACCGACACAGGUGGUCAGGUAGAGAAUACCAAGGCGCUUGAGAGAACUCGGGUGAAGGAACUAGGCAAAAUGGUGCCGUAACUUCGGGAGAAGGCACGCUGAUAUGUAGGUGAAGUCCCUCGCGGAUGGAGCUGAAAUCAGUCGAAGAUACCAGCUGGCUGCAACUGUUUAUUAAAAACACAGCACUGUGCAAACACGAAAGUGGACGUAUACGGUGUGACGCCUGCCCGGUGCCGGAAGGUUAAUUGAUGGGGUCAGCGCAAGCGAAGCUCUUGAUCGAAGCCCCGGUAAACGGCGGCCGUAACUAUAACGGUCCUAAGGUAGCGAAAUUCCUUGUCGGGUAAGUUCCGACCUGCACGAAUGGCGUAAUGAUGGCCAGGCUGUCUCCACCCGAGACUCAGUGAAAUUGAACUCGCUGUGAAGAUGCAGUGUACCCGCGGCAAGACGGAAAGACCCCGUGAACCUUUACUAUAGCUUGACACUGAACAUUGAGCCUUGAUGUGUAGGAUAGGUGGGAGGCUUUGAAGUGUGGACGCCAGUCUGCAUGGAGCCGACCUUGAAAUACCACCCUUUAAUGUUUGAUGUUCUAACGUUGACCCGUAAUCCGGGUUGCGGACAGUGUCUGGUGGGUAGUUUGACUGGGGCGGUCUCCUCCUAAAGAGUAACGGAGGAGCACGAAGGUUGGCUAAUCCUGGUCGGACAUCAGGAGGUUAGUGCAAUGGCAUAAGCCAGCUUGACUGCGAGCGUGACGGCGCGAGCAGGUGCGAAAGCAGGUCAUAGUGAUCCGGUGGUUCUGAAUGGAAGGGCCAUCGCUCAACGGAUAAAAGGUACUCCGGGGAUAACAGGCUGAUACCGCCCAAGAGUUCAUAUCGACGGCGGUGUUUGGCACCUCGAUGUCGGCUCAUCACAUCCUGGGGCUGAAGUAGGUCCCAAGGGUAUGGCUGUUCGCCAUUUAAAGUGGUACGCGAGCUGGGUUUAGAACGUCGUGAGACAGUUCGGUCCCUAUCUGCCGUGGGCGCUGGAGAACUGAGGGGGGCUGCUCCUAGUACGAGAGGACCGGAGUGGACGCAUCACUGGUGUUCGGGUUGUCAUGCCAAUGGCACUGCCCGGUAGCUAAAUGCGGAAGAGAUAAGUGCUGAAAGCAUCUAAGCACGAAACUUGCCCCGAGAUGAGUUCUCCCUGACUCCUUGAGAGUCCUGAAGGAACGUUGAAGACGACGACGUUGAUAGGCCGGGUGUGUAAGCGCAGCGAUGCGUUGAGCUAACCGGUACUAAUGAACCGUGAGGCUUAACCUU
rnacentral:rRNA from 1 species